rnacentral:rRNA from 1 species
CGCGGCCUAUCAGCUUGUUGGUGGGGUAAUGGCCUACCAAGGCUUUGACGGGUAGCCGGCCUGAGAGGGUGACCGGUCACACUGGGACUGAGACACGGCCCAGACUCCUACGGGAGGCAGCAGUGGGGAAUAUUGGACAAUGGGCGGAAGCCUGAUCCAGCAACGCCGCGUGAGGGAUGACGGCCUUCGGGUUGUAAACCUCUUUCACCAUUGACGAAGGCUCUGUUUUGCAGGGUUGACGGUAGGUGGGGAAGAAGCACCGGCCAACUACGUGCCAGCAGCCGCGGUAAUACGUAGGGUGCGAGCGUUGUCCGGAAUUAUUGGGCGUAAAGGGCUCGUAGGCGGUUUGUCGCGUCGGGAGUGAAAUCAUCCAGCUUAACUGGGUGCUUGCUUUCGAUACGGGCAGACUUGAGGUAUGCAGGGGAGAAUGGAAUUCCUGGUGUAGCGGUGAAAUGCGCAGAUAUCAGGAGGAACACCGGUGGCGAAGGCGGUUCUCUGGGCAUUACCUGACGCUGAGGAGCGAAAGUGUGGGGAGCGAACAGGAUUAGAUACCCUGGUAGUCCACACCGUAAACGUUGGGCGCUAGGUGUGGGACCUAUUCCAUGGGUUCCGUGCCGUAGCUAACGCAUUAAGCGCCCCGCCUGGGGAGUACGG